GCAAACCGACACAGGUAGUCAAGAUGAGAAUUCUAAGGUGAGCGAGCGAACUCUCGUUAAGGAACUCGGCAAAAUGACCCCGUAACUUCGGGAGAAGGGGUGCUCUUUAGGGUUAACGCCCAGAAGAGCCGCAGUGAAUAGGCCCAAGCGACUGUUUAUCAAAAACACAGGUCUCUGCUAAACCGUAAGGUGAUGUAUAGGGGCUGACGCCUGCCCGGUGCUGGAAGGUUAAGAGGAGUGGUUAGCUUCUGCGAAGCUACGAAUCGAAGCCCCAGUAAACGGCGGCCGUAACUAUAACGGUCCUAAGGUAGCGAAAUUCCUUGUCGGGUAAGUUCCGACCCGCACGAAAGGCGUAACGAUUUGGGCACUGUCUCAACGAGAGACUCGGUGAAAUCAUAGUACCUGUGAAGAUGCAGGUUACCCGCGACAGGACGGAAAGACCCCGUGGAGCUUUACUGUAGCCUGAUAUUGAAAUUCGGCACAGCUUGUACAGGAUAGGUAGGAGCCUUUGAAACGUGAGCGCUAGCUUACGUGGAGGCGCUGGUGGGAUACUACCCUAGCUGUGUUGGCUUUCUAACCCGCACCACUUAUCGUGGUGGGAGACAGUGUCAGGCGGGCAGUUUGACUGGGGCGGUCGCCUCCUAAAAGGUAACGGAGGCGCUCAAAGGUUCCCUCAGAAUGGUUGGAAAUCAUUCAUAGAGUGUAAAGGCAUAAGGGAGCUUGACUGCGAGACCUACAAGUCGAGCAGGGUCGAAAGACGGACUUAGUGAUCCGGUGGUUCCGCAUGGAAGGGCCAUCGCUCAACGGAUAAAAGCUACCCCGGGGAUAACAGGCUUAUCUCCCCCAAGAGUUCACAUCGACGGGGAGGUUUGGCACCUCGAUGUCGGCUCAUCGCAUCCUGGGGCUGUAGUCGGUCCCAAGGGUUGGGCUGUUCGCCCAUUAAAGCGGUACGCGAGCUGGGUUCAGAACGUCGUGAGACAGUUCGGUCCCUAUCCGUCGUGGGCGUAGGAAAUUUGAGAGGAGCUGUCCUUAGUACGAGAGGACCGGGAUGGACAUACCUCUGGUGUACCAGUUGUCGUGCCAACGGCAUAGCUGGGUAGCUAUGUGUGGACGGGAUAAGUGCUGAAAGCAUCUAAGCAUGAAGCCCCCCUCAAGAUGAGAUUUCCCAACUUCGGUUAUAAGAUCCCU
rnacentral:rRNA from 1 species